rnacentral:lncRNA from 1 species
UGUGUAUGUAGAGACCCUUGUUUGUCGCAUCACACCAGCCCCUCACAAUGCCGUCUGACAUCUUUCUGUGACAAGUGACCAUAUAAUGAAGCUCAGGGUGAGACACCCCAAAGACACCUCAAAGCCUGACAUGAAAAAUCAACUAGAGCAAGACGUAAGCAACAGCACUGAGGUCAAAACUCCCGGGCAGCCAGAUCUCAUGCUGACACACACUUCCAUGCGCUCAAAGCUGACCGAUGCCAAAAGCCGACUUAACGUCUGAGACACCAUGAAGACCCCAAAGAAGAAUAUCCAGCUUUAAAGGAGA